CUGUGCUAUCCCUGCUAUGACAAGCCCAACUGUCCGUUGUGAAAGUUAUGGCAUAGCUGGUUAGCUCGAAGCUAGCGCCGGGCUCUUUGUAGUUUGUUGCAGCUGGUUGCUAGGAGACGGCGGUCCCCUCCUUCACUGACAAAGAUCGUCUAUUCUCCCAAAGAUGAUUCAUCAGGCUGGAGCUGACAUAGCUGUGGUUUCACCCCAAAGGAGGCAACCAACUGUACUGCAUGAGGCCGAGGCACGGAAACGGACUUCAGAUCUGCAUGCAAGACAUUUUUACUCUCAACAAAUAAGUGGCUAACACACUCUUUUUGUCUUAAAAAGUUCAAAGUUUUGCAUGCAUUCAAACCA